rnacentral:rRNA from 1 species
UGGCGGACGGGUGAGUAACGCGUGGAUAACCUGCCUGUAAGACUGGGAUAACACCGGGAAACCGGUGCUAAUACCGGGCGUGCUGUAGAAUGGGCAUCCAUUUUACAGGGAAGGACUUUAAGUCUGCUUACAGAUGGGUCCGCGUCCCAUUAGCUAGCUGGUGGGGUAAAAGCCUACCAGGGCGACGAUGGGUAGCCGGCCUGAGAGGGUGGUCGGCCACACUGGGACUGAGACACGGCCCAGACUCCUACGGGAGGCAGCAGUGGGGAAUAUUGCGCAAUGGGCGGAAGCCUGACGCAGCGACGCCGCGUGGGUGACGAAGGCCUUCGGGUCGUAAAACCCUGUUGCAGGGGACGAAGGAAGUGACGGUACCCUGUGAGGAAGCCCCGGCUAACUACGUGCCAGCAGCCGCGGUAAAACGUAGGGGGCGAGCGUUGUCCGGAAUUACUGGGCGUAAAGAGCUCGUAGGCGGUAGCUCAAGUCAGCUGUGAAAACCGACG